UUAAGUUCAGCGGGUAUUCCUACCUGAUCCGAGGUCAACCUUCAGAAGUGGGGGGUUUAACGGCGUGGCCACGCUGCUCUCCAGUGCGAGGUAAAUUACUACACAGAGGAAGCUACAGCGAGACCGCCACUAGAUUUCGGGGACGGCGCGCCGCUAGGGGCGGGCCGAUCCCCAACACCAAGCCACGAGGGCUUGAGGGU
rnacentral:misc_RNA from 1 species